rnacentral:ncRNA from 1 species
AACCGCCGUAUACGGAGCCGUACGUACGGUGGUGUGAGAGGUUGGGGAUCUAAGAUCCCCUCCUACUCGAU